AAAAAUUAUUUCUAGAUAAUCCACAAGAUGGGAUUAUGGUGCAACUAGUUGUUAAUUUGUUGCAGUUAUCCAAGAUGGCAAUAAACCACACUGGUGAAAAAGAAGUUCUAGAGGCUGUUGGAAGCUGCUUGGGAGAAGUGGGUCCUAUAGAUUUCUCUACCAUAGCUAUACAACAUAGUAAAGAUGCAUCUUAUACCAAGGCCCUUAAGUUAUUUGAAGAUAAAGAACUUCAGUGGACCUUCAUAAUGCUGACCUACCUGAAUAACACACUGGUAGAAGAU
rnacentral:lncRNA from 1 species